rnacentral:ncRNA from 1 species
AACCAGAUCAGCAGAGAAAUGGUAAGAGAACACAAUUGGCCAGACUGUCCUUUCUGAUAGAAUAGCCUCCACUGAAAAUAAUACUACAACUUAAAAAAAAAAAAAAGCUUUAGAAUACACUCAUUGAGAAGUUUUAUACAUUUUUCCAAAGAAAUAGAGUGUUCAAAACUGGCUGGCUGACAGUGCACUCCAGCCAGAAUAGGACUCUGGCUCUUUUUUGCUGGGUUCUUUUUUUUUUUUUUGGAAAGCAGAGCCAUGAUUAACAGCAAUGGCUGGGGGUAUUCAUAUUGUGCCACUUGAACUGAAAUUCUUGGACCAGAGCAAGAUGAACUAAAGUAAAAACAUAUGCCAAGAAUGUUUUCAUUAAUCGAGAACAAAAGCUGGAGGUCUGUGGCCAACUCUCUAUCCGGUGGCGUUACUCCCAUCACCUGCCAGGCAACUCUCAGGAACCCCAAGUCUUUGGGUUCUGGAGGGAGGUUGGUUUCUCAAACACUACCAGGAGUAGAGUCUGAGAAUAAAUUUGAUUCAACAUAAAAAAACAUGCCUGUACAAGUAUGGACACGGUUGAACAAAUGCUAGCUUUUUCUUGAUUUCUUGGGUAGUGGUAUAUGGUCAUUCUCAGAUGAUGGAGCAAUUAGUCUGCUUAAUUUUCCUAUUGUGUUUGAUACAAGAAGAAAUAUAUAGAUUUAGCCCCCAACAGAGAGCAUGAAGAUGACCACAAGAAGGAAGAGACAGUUUAAUAACACCUGUGUGGCCAGACACAUGGGCUGCAGACCAGCCCUGCUACAGGCUGGUUAAACAGUAAACAUUUAUAGAAUCAUAGAAUCAUGG